GUGGGGUACACAGCAAAAUCCAUCAGUGCUGGGAUGCGGUGGUUUUAAAGCUGGCUUCCAGCUGUAACUGUGUUGGAUUUCAGGUUUCAAUACUGAAAUAAAAGAAGCAAACUCUUGACUUGGGCUGCAGUCCUUUACAGGCUUGGAGGUGGUGCUGUGGAAUGUAAAUGUGCCCUUUCUUUGCAUAAAAACACUGUUCCAGGUGUGCGUUUUCUCCUACGAUGUGCCAUUAUAGGCACCUAAUUCUAUAUUGGUCACCAGAAUAAGCUGCAGCAGGCAUUUCAGAAAGUGCGUAUUGCUUUUUCAUAUGCCCAGGACAGCUGAAUGUGCUGCACCAAUUGGUUACGAGAUCCCAAAGCUGCCACUCAUCUCGAAAAUCUAAAUUGAUGCCUGCAGCACUGAUGUCAAUUUCAAUGCAGAGUUCUGGUCAAGUUGGCCCCACUGUGGAAUACAAAAACAAGUCGACGUGCCACUCACGCUGCUAAAUAGCUGGCUAUGCAAGGCAGAUGCACCUGUUGGAGGCACCUAGGAGAGUUUCAGGCCAAGCUGGUGAGAAAUGGAGGGGAAAGAAAAUGCGCCGCAUUCUGGAGUGGCGUAAUAGGGGUCGUCGGCACCCUGCAUUGCGCUGAAAAAGUAACAAAGAUGCUCCUUUGCUGGUCUUUUCAUGAGCUUUUAACCAAAAUGAAAUGGUUUUGCACUGCAGGUUUAAAAUAAGACUUGUGUGGUACUUUUAUCCU